rnacentral:rRNA from 1 species
UACGUAGGGGGCAAGCGUUGUCCGGAAUUAUUGGGCGUAAAGAGCUCGUAGGCGGUGUGUCGCGUCGGCCGUGAAAACCUGGGGCUUAACUCUGGGCGUGCGGUCGAUACGGGCAUCACUGGAGUUCGGCAGGGGAGACUGGAAUUCCUGGUGUAGCGGUGAAAUGCGCAGAUAUCAGGAGGAACACCGGUGGCGAAGGCGGGUCUCUGGGCCGAUACUGACGCUGAGGAGCGAAAGCAUGGGUAGCGAACAGG